UACGUAGGGUGCAAGCGUUGUCCGGAAUUAUUGGGCGUAAAGAGCUCGUAGGCGGCCUGGUAGGUCAGCUGUGAAAACUCGAGGCUCAACCUCGAGACGCCGGUUGAAACCAUCAGGCUAGAGUCCGGAAGAGGAGAGUGGAAUUCCCGGUGUAGCGGUGAAAUGCGCAGAUAUCGGGAAGAACACCCGUGGCUAAGGCGGCUCUCUAGUACGGUACUGACGCUGAGACGCGAAAGCGUGGGGAGCGAACAGG
rnacentral:rRNA from 1 species